GGCCCGUUAGCUCAGUCGAUUGGAGCGUGGUGCUGAUAACACCCAGGUCGCAGGUUCGUUCCCCGUUCGGUCCC
rnacentral:tRNA from 1 species